GCAAAUGUGAAGCUUCGACAUUAGCCCCUUCACAUUCGCACCUCAGACAGGGGGUCACUGAUCUGGAAAGACAGUCCGUUCCUACCUCCUAAUGAUCAUUCUGCUUCAUUCUUCUGUACACACUCCGGAAGCUGAUGUGUUCCGGUGCAAAAUGGCUGCCGUGCAUCACCCGCUUGGGUGCUACACAUCGGUGAUGGCUGAGAUCAGCGGAGCGGCAGCGGGCUGAAGCACAAUCAGAGCCCGGACUCGGCGGCGCGUUUGACAAAUUGGCGGGAAAAACGGAGAGAAGAGAGACGGCUGCAUCGAAGCUCAACCCACCCCCUCCGCCCACCCCCCAACCCCACCCCCCACCCCCAUGCCGCAACGUACUCGAGAGCGGGAUUCGCCGCCACCGUACCUGGUGAGCGUUCCAUCGGUGCCACGCGAUGGCGGGUUGGGAGCAUUCCAAAACUGCUCUAGCAAAAAAAAAAAAGUUUUUUUUUUUUUUAAUUAUUUAAAAAAAACUCUUUUCAAUACUUUCAAUACUUCUCAACCAUACGGCAAUUUCUCACCACAGCGAUGCAUCCAGACGAUGAUGCCUGUCCCAAACAAACUUUGAGAUCCUCCGUGUCAGAAUCAGAAAUCAAAUAUUUAUAGGGCUCAGAAGCUCGCAAAGAAUGUCAGCAGAAGAAAAAACUAUUUGUUUGUGCGUGUGUGUCACAUAAAUAUAUGCACACAUUUUUUAUUUACUUUACUUAGUUGCGCAUGCUUCUCACAACUGUCCAGAAUACUUCCGCCAGAGCUUGGAGUUUCAAAAUAAUUUAAAAUAGCAUUUUGAAAUAGUUUGAACAUUUUGAAAAAUAACCGUGACACUAUUUCUUUUUAUUAUUUAUUUAUUUUAUUUUUUUACUCUACUUUCGGCGUGUCUGUGACUUUUGGAGGGUCAUAAAAACUUUGUUUCAAACUCAGUGCCUUUACAGACCUGAAGAGUGGCAGUGCCAUGGCAGUGAGACACGAGAGAAACUUCAGCACACAGUAUGUGUUUGAGGGACGCGCAGUUAGAAUAGCUGGUUUACAAUGAUCCUGACAGCACGGAGUGCUAAGUGAAGUGUGCAUAUGACAGGCGAAAGCUCAUUUAGAGGAAGCAUCAUUUCAACACAUCAUUUAUCACAUUUACAAUUUGUUGUAUUUGUUUUGCUAAUUUUUAACGCAUUUAUAUGUUCUUAAAUUUAUCUGUUCUCAAAUUCAAUGUGAGGCGCUUGUUGUGUUUCACUAAGCUGUA